rnacentral:rRNA from 1 species
GAUGAACGCUGGCGGCGUGCCUAAUACAUGCAAGUCGAGCGAACGGACGAGAAGCUUGCUUCUCUGAUGUUAGCGGCGGACGGGUGAGUAACACGUGGAUAACCUUCCUAUAAGACUGGGAUAACUUCGGGAAACCGGAGCUAAUACCGGAUAAUAUUUUGAACCGCAUGGUUCAAAAGUGAAAGACGGUCUUGCUGUCACUUAUAGAUGGAUCCGCGCUGCAUUAGCUAGUUGGUAAGGUAACGGCUUACCAAGGCAACGAUGCAUAGCCGACCUGAGAGGGUGAUCGGCCACACUGGAACUGAGACACGGUCCAGACUCCUACGGGAGGCAGCAGUAGGGAAUCUUCCGCAAUGGGCGAAAGCCUGACGGAGCAACGCCGCGUGAGUGAUGAAGGUCUUCGGAUCGUAAAACUCUGUUAUUAGGGAAGAACAUAUGUGUAAGUAACUGUGCACAUCUUGACGGUACCUAAUCAGAAAGCCACGGCUAACUACGUG